UACAACUCUUACGAAUAUCAUUUAUCUACACUCUGUAGUAAUUAACAAAACAUCCGAUUAACUCUCCUCAUGUUUCGCCGACAUUUUCUUCCUUUGCUUGUCUGUGGACUUUUAGUGUGUCUAAGUAAUAGUUCAUCGUCGGCAGACAGAAACUAUAAGAUAUGAAAAACUGCAAAAAACAAAAUUGGUUCUACAAAGUGGAGUGUCCAAAAUGCCUGGAGAGGCAACAGCGGUUACGUGAACAGGUGGAAGUGCAAUCUGUUCGUUUAUGACGUCCUUCUGAAAGCCAAAGCAGAGGUACCAUCCAGGAGACCUUGGGGACACUAUCCCAUUGGUGCCAACGCGUGGGCUAACCCUAGGUCUUGGUAUGUCAGAUGGACUGGGUGCUACAGAAGAGUGUCGGACAAUAGGAAACGAAAAGGUGACGUCAUAGCAUUUCAAGGACGUGGUACUAGUGGACACAUGGGGAUAGUUUCUACCAAUGGCUUUUACAUCAGUGCUGGCAAACACACGGUUACAGAAACGUCCAUCAAGGGGUUUCUGCGAGGAAACAAGAUAGUGCGGACAACCAUCUGGAGAUAUACUUGCUAAAUGCCUUCCUUUCGCUGCCUCGAUUGGUGUCUAUGAAUAAAAAUAAACAACGUAGAAAAACGCAAAUAUUUUUGUUGGAUAAUUUCAUGGAUAUUUUUCUGUGAAAUGUCAUACAUGGAUAUAUGACAUGUCUUUCAAUAUAACACAA